rnacentral:rRNA from 1 species
GUAGGGAGCAAGCGUUGUUCGGAAUUAUUGGGGCGUAAAGAGCGCGUAGGCGGCUAGGCAAGUCUGAUGUGAAAUCCCACAGCUCAACUGUGGAACUGCAUUGGAAACUGCUUAGCUGGAGUGCGGGAGAGGAGAGUGGAAUUCCCAGUGUAGAGGUGAAAUUCGUAGAUAUUGGGAGGAACACCGGUGGCGAAGGCGGCUCUCUGGACCGCAACUGACGCUGAGGCGCGAAAGCUAGGGGAGCGAACGGGAUUAGAUACCCCGGUAGUCCUAGCCGUAAACGAUGGGCACUAGGUGUGGGAGGUAUCGACCCCUUCUGUGCCGCAGCUAACGCAUUAAGUGCCCCGCCUGGGGAGUACGGUCGCAAAGACUA